AUUGAACGCUGGCGGCAGGCCUAACACAUGCAAGUCGAACGAGUGGCGGACGGGUGAGUCAUGUCUGGGAAACUGCCUGAUGGAGGGGGAUAACUACUGGAAACGGUAGCUAAUACCUCAUACCAUCAGAUGUGCCCAGAUGGGAUUAGCUAGUAGGUGGGGUAACGGCUCACCUAAGCGACGGACCCUAGCUGGUCUGAGAGGAUGACCAGCCACACGGCAACUGAGACACGGUCCAGACUCCUACGGGAGGCAGCAGUGGGGAAUAUUGCACAAUGGGCGCAAGCCUGAUGCAGCCAUGCCGCGUGUAUGAAGAAGGCCUUCGGGUUUUAAAGUACUUUCAGCGGGGAGGCGUUACCCGCAGAAGGGGCACCGGCUAACUCCGUGCCAGCAGCCGCGGUAAUUC
rnacentral:rRNA from 1 species